rnacentral:rRNA from 1 species
CCUACGGGUGACAGCAGUGGGGAAUAUUGGACAAUGGGGGGAACCCUGAUCCAGGGACGCCGCGUGAGUGAAGAAGGAUUUCGGUAUGUAAAGCUCUAUCAGCAGGGAAGAAAAUGACGGUACCUGACUAAGAAGCCCCGGCUAACUACGUGCCAGCAGCCGCGGUAAUACGUAGGGGGCAAGCGUUAUCCGGAUUUACUGGGUGUAAAGGGAGCGGAGACGGUGCAGCAAGUCUGAUGUGAAAGGUCGGGGCCCAACCCCGGGACUGCCUUGGAAACUGUUGAACUGGAGUACAGGAGAGGUAAGCGCAAUUCCUCGUGUAGCGGUGACAUGCGUAGAUAUUAGGCGGAACACCAGUGGCGCAGGCGGCUUACUGGACUGUACCUGCCGUUGAGGCUCGAAAGCGUGGGGAGCAAACAGGAUUAGAUACCCCUGUAGUC